AUGAUUCCAAAGCAUCUUGUAAUCAGCGACCUACUUCCACUGGGACCUGACUGCCAUCCGACAACACGUGAGCCAUACCGGACAUCGUUGGGACCUCCAUGUCCGGCUACAUGGGUUGCGGUGAGCCCCUGCUCUCUCUCUCUCUCUCUCUCUCUGCCCUUGGACGGUCCGGCCAUCGAGCUAGUGUGCGACUGUUGUCGUCAUGCUGUGUGUAGUGGUGGUGGUCUUCCGGCAACUAACAUGAUCUUGGGAUUGUGGUCAUAUUUCUUGUCGAUUAAACAUGUCAUGAUACUUGUGCUUUGCGAGGCCAUGUGUGUAUGUGGCUGCUACCAUGCUUUCCUACCUAUGCAAGAUUCUGUUGUGCCUCCACAAAUAGUCUCUGGUUUAUCCAUUUAUGUACCUUUUUUGCACCGCAUGUUACAGGAUUUGGUAGUGGUCCAUGUUCUAGCUUUGGUAGGAUCCUUGCUUAUAUGUUGUGGGAGGUUUAUUUAUUAA
rnacentral:rRNA from 1 species